AUCUUUUCGGUGUUUGGCACAAAAGGAUUUGGGCCUUUUAGAGAGGGGUUCCUCAAAAGAUA
rnacentral:tRNA from 1 species